GCCAAGUCAUUCCAUACUAAUAUUAAGUGUUUCUGGAAACUUGUUUCCUUAGUGAUGACCUGAAUUCACUCCUGAGGCAGAUCAGCACUUGUGUUUUGGGAUUGUAAAUCUGGAUCCUGCAGAUCUGGAGAGGGCGCCUUGGACCUUGUUAUAACACCUCGUAUGCAAAGUGACACCUUUGACAAUAUAACAAUCCUCAGGCACAGCACUGCAGGCUUUGGAAUUCGAUUGCAAGAGAGGGCCAGUUGCAAGGUAAUUUUCCGACCUCACUGAAUUCACAGCCUGGAUCCAUUCUUCACAUCCCCGUGGAGAGGCUGCCAGUUCACAUGGCCUUGAUUUGGAGCCUCUUGUAUCAAGAAUGUUGUUUCCUUUCCACCGUACGCCGCUGAGGUAAAUGAAUUUCAAGAAUGUUGGCACUGCCCCGUUGCAAUGAGAAUGCAAGUAGCAUUUUCCUUCCCAAGGCCCCCGAAAGCCUCCUAAUUAUUGUCAUCGAAAGAAUUAAGAUAUUGAGAUUGAUUCAUGACUUAAAGGAAAACAAACAGAAAAACAAUGCUGGAGCCAAAAUAUCAGCACGGAGCUGGAUUGAAUUUCAUGCUGGCACCAAGACCACAGGCCUUCCUUGUCGAGGUAACAAAGCUGGAAUUGUGCUUGCAGUCUGGUGACCAGGA